AGAGUUUGAUCCUGGCUCAGAUUGAACGCUGGCGGCAGGCCUAACACAUGCAAGUCGAGCGCGAAAGUUUUCGGAUGAGUAGAGCGGCGAACGGGUGAGUAACGCGUGGGAAUCUGCCUGGUAAUGGGGGACAACAUCUCGAAAGGGAUGCUAAUACCGCAUACGCCCUAAGGGGGAAAGUGGGGGAUCUUCGGACCUCACGUUAUCAGAGGAGCCCGCGUCGGAUUAGCUAGUAGGUAGGGUAAAGGCCUACCUAGGCGACGAUCCGUAACUGGUCUGAGAGGAUGAUCAGUCACACUGGAACUGAGACACGGUCCAGACUCCUACGGGAGGCAGCAGUGGGGAAUAUUGGACAAUGGGGGCAACCCUGAUCCAGCCAUGCCGCGUGUGUGAAGAAGGCCUUCGGGUUGUAAAGCACUUUAAGUUGGGAGGAAGGCUUCACGGAUAAUACCUGUGAGGAUUGACGUUACCAACAGAAUAAGCACCGGCUAACUCCGUGCCAGCAGCCGCGGUAAUACGGAGGGUGCAAGCGUUAAUCGGAAUUACUGGGCGUAAAGCGCGCGUAGGCGGCCAUUUAAGCUAGAUGUGAAAGCCCUGGGCUUAACCUGGGAACUGCAUUUAGAACUGGAUGGCUAGAGUAUGGAAGAGGAGUGUGGAAUUUCCGGUGUAGCGGUGAAAUGCGUAGAGAUCGGAAGGAACAUCAGUGGCGAAAGCGACACUCUGGUCCAAUACUGACGCUGAGGUGCGAAAGCGUGGGGAUCAAACAGGAUUAGAUACCCUGGUAGUCCACGCCGUAAACGAUGUCGACUAGCCGUUGGCCUCCUUGAGGGGUUAGUGGCGCAGCUAACGCGAUAAGUCGACCGCCUGGGAGUACGGCGCAAGGUUAAAACUCAAAUGAAUUGACGGGGCCCGCACAAGCGGUGGGAGCAUGUGGUUUAAUUCGACGCAACGCGAAGAACC
rnacentral:rRNA from 1 species